GUAAUCCGUGUUGUUUGCUUCUUCGUCAUCUUCGUUCAUCUUUGAUCGGCGAUGUGACGAUGCAGAUUCCGUAACGGUAAGCAUUGAGUUUAAUCGUCUUAAUACGUGAGCCCACUUCCUUCCGCUGAUUAGUUCAUCGGCGAAACCUUAUAAAUAUGCAGAGAUCUCUCCUCUGCGAAUCGCGCUCUCCAAUAUCUCUGUUCUACUCAUCUGAAUCAUAUUCAUCUUUGUUCUCAUCUCUAUUCUACUCAUCUUAAUCAUUCAUAUUCAUAUAUCAUAGCUUAUGUGGAUGGAUUUUCUCAUUGUGGAUGUUAACACGAGUCAUUUUUCUGUUUCCUUCUAUGUAUCAAUAGUUCUAGGUUUUUAUCAACCGUCGUACUGUUAUUAUUUCCGGGUGAGUCCUAGGCCGUUUUUGAAUUUUGAUAGUGUUUCCGCUUAACCUGAUCGUGUUGUAAGUUUUUUUUUUUACGAUUUCACAACAUCUUUUUAUGCCAUGCGCCAAAUUAGACUGAGAUGGAAACUUCCAUUUGCGUAAAGUUUUAAGUCUACAAACUUCAUAUCCUGUUUAUAUCUUUGGUAUCUUUGUUUCUAGAAAUUGAUGUUUCUCUUCAGAUGGCUUUGACUUGGUGUCAAUUGACUGAAUGGAAUAAGCAGUCUUCUGCGUAGGAGGUCAUGCACAGGACUCAAAGAGACAUGGAUGUUCAUGAAAGAAACAAUGAAGCACAUACUCCACUACUGCACGCACAUGUUCACAUGUAAGGCUUUGACCCACUGGGUGGCGUUGGUCCAUCAGCAGCGUCGAGCUCAAAGAUGGAGGUAGGCCAAUGAAGUCAAGAAUCUAACGUUUGUCACUUAGGAAGACUGCUAACGACGUUGACGAAUUUAUCAGAGUCAAAGAAAGGCAGCGUAACAUUUACCUCUGGAACAAGCAGCUAUAGAAUUCUGAAAAACAAAUUCAAUGCAACUCAGGAAGUGUUAAUCAGAUUGUGAAACGCAAAAUGUGAUGGUUGUGCUUCGGAAAUAUCAAGUAUACUCUUGAUAUUACUUGGUUUCAAAAUAUUAAGCUUAUGACCAUA